CUCAGCCCCCGUCUGCAUCUGCCUCACUGGGAGCCUCAGUCAAGCUCACCUGCACCCUGAGCAGUGAGCACAGUACCUACAUCAUCAAAUGGUAUCAACAGAGACCAGAGAGGUCCCCCUAGUAUAUAAUGAAGUUUCACAGCGAUGGCAGACACAGAAAGGAGGACAGGAUCCCCAAUUGCUUCUCGGGCUCCAGCUCUGGGGCUGACUGCUCCCUCACCAUGUCCAACCUCCAGUCUGAGGACGAGGCUGA
rnacentral:lncRNA from 1 species